CCUACGGGCGGCAGCAGUGGGGAAUAUUGCACAAUGGGGGAAACCCUGAUGCAGCGACGCCGCGUGAGUGAAGAAGUAUUUCGGUACGUAAAGCUCUAUCAGCAGGGAAGAAAAUGACGGUACCUGACUAAGAAGCCCCGGCUAACUACGUGCCAGCAGCCGCGGUAAUACGUAGGGGGCAAGCGUUAUCCGGAUUUACUGGGUGUAAAGGGAGAGUAGACGGCAGCGCAAGUCUGGAGUGAAAUCCCAUGGCUUAACCAUGGAACUGCGUUGGAAACUGUGCAGCUAGAGUGCAGGAGAGGUAAGCGGAAUUCCUAGUGUAGCGGUGAAAUGCGUAGAUAUUAGGAGGAACACCAGUGGCGAAGGCGGCUUACUGGACUGUAACUGACGUUGAGGCUCGAAAGCGUGGGGAGCAAACAGGAGUAGAUACCCGAGUAGUC
rnacentral:rRNA from 1 species